rnacentral:rRNA from 1 species
UAGGAUGAACGCUGGCGGCGUGCCUAACACAUGCAAGUCGAACGGAUUUGUUCGCUGACAAAGCUUCGGCAGAGUCUGAACAAAGUUAGUGGCGGACGGGUGAGUAACGCGUGGGCAACCUGCCUCAUACUGGGGGAUAACAGCUGGAAACGACUGUUAAUACCGCAUAAGCGCACAGUGUCGCAUGACACAGUGUGAAAAACUCCGGUGGUAUGAGAUGGGCCCGCGUCAGAUUAGCUAGUUGGUAAGGUAACGGCUUACCAAGGCGACGAUCUGUAGCCGGACUGAGAGGUCGGACGGCCACAUUGGGACUGAGACACGGCCCAAACUCCUACGGGAGGCAGCAGUGGGGGAUAUUGCACAAUGGAGGAAACUCUGAUGCAGCGACGCCGCGUGAAGUGAAGAAGUAUCUCGGUAUGUAAAGCUCUAUCAGCAGGGAAGAAAGGCCCGUAAGGGAGAUGACAGUACCUGACUAAGAAGCCCCGGCUAACUACGUGCCAGCCGCUGC